rnacentral:rRNA from 1 species
UACGUAGGUGGCAAGCGUUGUCCGGAUUUACUGGGUGUAAAGGGCGUGUAGCCGGGCUUACAAGUCAGAUGUGAAAUCCGGGGGCUCAACCCCCGAACUGCAUUUGAAACUGUAGGUCUUGAGUAUCGGAGAGGCAGGCGGAAUUCCUAGUGUAGCGGUGAAAUGCGUAGAUAUUAGGAAGAACACCAGUGGCGAAGGCGGAUGACUGGACGGCAACUGACGGUGAGGCGCGAAAGCGUGGGGAGCAAACAGG